rnacentral:rRNA from 1 species
UACGUAGGGGGGCAAGCGUUGUCCGGAAUCAUUGGGCGUAAAGAGCGCGUAGGCGGUCCGGUAAGUCCGCUCUGAAAGCCCGGGGCUCAACCCCGGGAGGCGGGCGGAUACUGUCGGGCUAGAGUCCGGAAGAGGCGAGUGGAAAUUCCUGGUGUAGCGGUGAAAUGCGCAGAUAUCAGGAGGAACACCGAUGGCGAAGGCAGCUCGCUGGGACGGUACUGACGCUGAGGCGCGAAAGCGUGGGGAGCAAACAGG